GCCAGGAAGGAGGAGGCAGCCAGAGAGGCCUCCACUGUUCUCUGCAGCAGAAGACCCCCUGCUGCCAGCCAACAGAGUGAACAGUCCUGACAAGACCUUGGUCAGCUUGUGGUUCUGUAUAGCAGCAAUGAAAACACAACAAUUGACACAGUCGUGAUCCAGUUGGUUGUAAGAAAUUUCUUUUAUUGUUGUUCAACUCUGUAUUUGUUCUUUGAUUGAAAUAAACAUUGAUUUGACCUUG